rnacentral:rRNA from 1 species
UNACGGAUGCGUGACGCGUAGUGUGACCUGCCUCUCGAGAUGGGGGAUAACCCCGUAGAAACCGGGGCUAAUACCCAAUAUUGUCUUAGCAUCGAAUGAUGACUGAGAUGAAAGCCUUUGGGCGCUCUAGGAGGGGCCUGCAGUCGGAUUAGCUAGUUGGUGGGGUAAUGGCCCACCAAGGCGACGAUCCGUAGCUGGUCUGAGAGGACGAGCCAGCCACACUGGAACUGAGACACGGGCCAGACUCCUACGGGAGGCAGCAGUGGGGAAUCUUGGGCAAUGGGCGAAAGCCUGACCCAGCCACGCCGCGUGGAGGAUGAAGCCCCUCGGGGUGUAAACUCCUUUUCUGGGGGAAGAAAUCCCGGCUGUUGUCGGUACUGACGGUACCCUUACAAUAAGC